ensembl:lncRNA
UCCCAGCUACAAGCAGGCAGAGAUGGAGCUUCACUUCCCGAGAGAAGAGAAGAAGACCUAUACAGAGAAGGAAGCCCACAUGCUUGAGUUGAUGGGGAAGGAUCGAACGAUCCGAAACCAGAAGAAGGAGAUGGACAGACUUCAAGUCUGCCUCUGGGAGGAGGAAAAGAAGAAGAGGAAUGGUGGAACGGAGAAGGACAAGAUCAUUGAACAAUUACAGUCUGAGACAGACCAUCUCCGAGCCCUUUUCAAAGAUGAAAGGAGGAGAAGAAGAGUAGAAAGGGGUAUCAUGAAAGAGUGGAAGGCUGAGAUCCUGAGACUGAGGGAGGCAGAGAGCCAGAGGGAGGCAGAGAGCCAGAGAGAGGCAGAGAACCAGAGAGAAGCAGAGAGACAGAGAGAAGCAGAGAGACAGAGGGAAGCAGAGAGACAGAGAGAAGCAGAGAGACAGAGAGAAGCAGAGAGACAGAGGAGGCAGAGAGACAGAGGGAAGCAGAGAGACAGAGGGAGGCAGAGAGACAGAGGAAGGCAGAGAGACAGAGAGAAGCAGAGAGACAGAGAGAAGCAGAGAGAGCCACAGAAGCAAUGGAGUACCAGAGAAAACUGCAGGAGAUCCACAGACUCAAACAACUGCUGGAUCUACUGAUGGUGGACCUACAACUGGCCCACGUAAGACAUGUCAUUGUUAUUAUUAAAAGGCAGUGUAUAUUUACCCAGCUGAAAAUGAAUAGUGGCAGACAGCGGUACGCUAACCUAAUGUUAACUUUUAUUCCUUUCCUUAACCCUUACCUUAACCUCACUGAAACUAUACCUAACCUUUACCUUAACCCAACCCUAGGUCCUGAACCUAACCUUCAUUUAUCUCAACCCCUAUGCCUUUCUUCUGCCGGUUGAAUAUCCACUUCCUUAUUAACGUCAUUACUGUUGUUGUUGAUAACUGUAUCUGUGCAGGUUGUAAAUAGUUGCAUUAGUGAAGCAUCAUUUGUAGGAGUAAUUUCUACAAGCA